rnacentral:rRNA from 1 species
CACGUAGGGGGCGAGCGUUGUCCGGAUUUAUUGGGCGUAAAGAGCUCGUAGGCGGCUCGGUAAGUCGGGUGUGAAAACUCGGGGCUCAACCCCGAGACGCCACUCGAUACUGGUGUGGCUUGAGUCCGGUAGGGGAGCGUGGAAUUCCUGGUGUAGCGGUGAAAUGCGCAGAUAUCAGGAGGAACACCGAUGGCGAAGGCAGGUCUCUGGGCCACUACUGACGCUGAGAAGCGAAAGCGUGGGGAGCGAACAGG